rnacentral:misc_RNA from 1 species
GGUCCUGCCCCUCCCCCUAACCUCUUUUUGGAAAAUUGAAACUUAAAUUCACAAAUUAGUAUUACCAGAAAUGGUCUAGGACUCCACCCCGCCCUCGAACCUCAACGUGAAUUUUUUUUUUAUUUGUGCACGGAAUUUGACUCAGAGGAGCCUUAAUUAUAAAAUCUUUUAGGCUGAGAAUUCGCAAGCAGCUGGGUCUCAUAAUUUUAUAUAUAGUUAGCUCGACCCCCCAGAAGCGACUGUCUUAGAAACAGGAAAUAACCGUCCCUCCAAAAAGCCAUCGAAAUGCCUUUUAUCCAAUUGAAAAUUGCGUGGGGCCCAUGUCUCGAUAGCACUGUCUUCUUAAGCUUCUUAAACGUGCAUGUCGAAAAGUGAAGUUCUAUAUCUGCAUCAGACCCACAGGCCAUAUUUUUCAAUUGGUUUUAAACGUUUUACUAAAAGCGAAAUAAUCUCGACGGGACAUAAAACCAGUAACGAUCAUUAAAUCGAUGGUUUCAUAAAGACCUUGUUCAUUCUUGCAUUAAUAAAAGAAAAGAACAUUUACAUGAGUGUUAAAAAAAACUUUCAAUGUCUUUGAAAUACGUUUGAAGCAGUUACAACCAUACGCACACUAUUUUAAAAAUUAGUUUGGAUAGAAGAAAAUAUCUGUUCAAUAAUACGGCAUAUUAUUUACCUACAUGUCUAAGUAUAUUCAAUGUCAGCAAAUGAUUUCAUUGCUUAACAGGUCUGGUUAUACAAACAAACAAGGUAUAUAUGACGCCAUCAUUUCUAUCGGAAUACACAAUAAAAUUAACUACACGUUUAGUUCAAAAGUUUAAAAUCCGCUUAGGAUUUUAGAAUAUUUACCUUUUAAAGAAUAUUUUGAAAAUUGCUUUUCUGACCUAAUACCUUACAAAAUGAAACGUUUUUAGAAUGGGAUUGUCAGGUUCGGAAUAAAUCGUGCUUAGC